AGAAGGCGCGGCGGCUUCGUGCGCUGAGGCUGGGAGUAGGGGCGGGAGGGGACUGUCGGGGACUGAUACCCCGGUCCCCGGGCUGGAUCCCUCGGCCCUCCUCCUGCUCCUGGGUAGCCCACGGGGCGGCCACCAUUGCGCUUCAUCACCGUGAUCGCCACACGCUGCUGGCGUUUUCCUAGGCCUGCUCUGGCUGCGCCCCCUAAUCUCAUUUACCCCUUAGAACGGCCUCCUUCUUAACCCAUUUCACAGAUGAGGAAACUGAGUUUCAAGAAAGGAAGCGACGUGCUUCGGGUCUACCGGCAAGGGCAAAGGCGGGAUUCCAGCCUGGGAGCGGGACAUCUGUCUCCCCUGCGGUCCGGCCCCCUGGGUGGGGCCUCGGCUUUAUCUCCGGAUGCGGGGCCCUCAUGACCCCAAAAGGAAGCGUGUGGCGAGGGACUGAGUGGAGUCGUGGCCUCGCCCUUGGCCUGGGUUGGGUGGCGCGCUUUCCUCUCCCUCUGUGAAGGGGGCUGGUACCUGGCCGGCUGUCCCCACACCCACCAUUCCCAGACGCGCCAUCCUGAGCUCACAGGAUUCCUCAGGAAUCCCCCACCUCCUCCACCCCAUCUUAUCGCCACUUCAAGCCGUUGCCCGUGCAGUUCUUUUCCCAGGGAGACCUAACUCCUCCUCCCAGGCUCCCAAAGCGGCAGAGGUAGCCGCGCCUUCUGCCUGGAGCCCUGGACUUAUCUCCCCACGCCUGGGGCGGGUAGUUAGUUACGGAGUGAGCGAGAGGCCAGGAUUGCGUGGGGGGAGGGGGGUCCUUCGAGUGUCCUCACUGUAGGGGUUGUCUACACCCAGCUGCCCUCUGUCUCUACAGGUGGAGGUCGCUUUAUGCACUCUAUUUUUUGUCUGUUUUAUCAUUCGCACCCCAGGAAAAAUAAAAUCAUGGGGGCCACAAGUCAGAAACGGGGAGGGGCAGGAACGGGAUUCAGCAAGGUGCUGUCUGGCACCUGUGGAUUUGGAAGCGUCUCUUCCAACACAGUCCCUCAGUUUCCCCAUCUGCCAAACAGGGCUGGUAAAAGCCCAACCCAGGGGGAGGCGGGGAGCCGUGCACAAAGUCGGGGUGCAUUCAGCAGGCUCUUGGGGAGUGCCAAGUGCGACCACGCCCUCCCUGGGAGGCCUAAAGGGAGCUUCCAGAAGAGCAACUCUGCACCCCUCUUCCUGGAGGGUCGAUUUGAGGCCAGGCUGGAAGAACCAGAGCUACUAUGGGGGGAAUGGGGGCAGCUCUAAGUAGACGCCUUCCAGUGUCCAAAUGACUGACCUUGGCGCGACCUCAUCACUAGCCCUUUGCCCAGGUCCUGGGUAGCCCUUUAGCCGGGUCUCCGUGUCUUCUUGACCAACCUGCCCAUUACUCUGCCGUCCCCCGUCCUGCCCCACAAGAUCUAAGACGUCCCCAGAAAGCUUCAGGUCUUGGCAGAUGUGCACACACGUGCCCCCAUGCUCCUGGCACUCUCAUUCCUCCUGGGCUGUCCUGUCAACACUCCCCCCUACCGCCGACCCCCCCUUCAGCAAGAUUCAGUCCCCUUCCCUGGCUGGCGUCACGGGCAGCGCCCUUCACCGCAUCCUGCCACAGGGACUUGUUUGCACAGCUGUCUCCCGCCGCUGGAGUGUGGGGUCCUUGAGAACUGACAUCUUUAAUUCGGGACUUUGCCGCCCUCCCCAACUUGUAACACAGAGCCUGGCAGAGGACUGGCACUCAAUGCCAAGAGGGGUGUGUAGGGGGUACAACGGGGGCACUUCCAGGAGGCUAAAGGAUCUGGGAGAUGCCUUUCUUCGCUAAACGUCCCCCAUCCAUCUCCUCCUUCAGCUGGCAUGGACCCAUCUUCUCCAGUGCCAAACCCAGAGGAGGCGGGCGGCCCUCUUGCCCAGGUACCCUCUGCAGCGCUUGCCCAGGUCGCACCAGACCGGUCCCAUCUCUUCUCUCCUUGAGGGACCCACUCGCAUCGUUGCCCUUUUAAGAAAGAGGAAAUUCUUCUCAUAAACAAGCGUCCGGACCUGAGCGCGGAGCCAGGCCGCCUGCCCUGCUGGGUCCCCAGGAAAUCGGGGGUUCUUCCAGGUGCAACACCCGGCCCAGGUUCAACUCUAGGGAAAGGCCUGUUGGCCUCUCCUCGCUGCGGCCCUCCGCAGGUCCUGGGCUGGGGUCUGAGGGACCCGACGAGGCUGGAGGAGGGACUUGGGGGAGCCUAGAAACAGCCUAGGGAACGUCUAUAAAGUGCAGCCCCUGAAUGGGGCGAAUGGGUGCCCAGCCGCUCCCUAAGGCAGAGGGGGCUCCCCGCCCACACAGCUUCCUCCCACCCACUCUCCCCGAAGGAUUCUGGGGCCCCUGGCGCGAGCCCCGAGCGCCCGCCUCCCCGCGUCGUUCCGCCUGGCGGGGAGGGGUGAGGCCGGGGCGGGAUGGCGGGCGUCGGGACCGUCUCUGCCCCUAGGGGGAGCAGUCAGCAGAGAGGGAGCGGUAACGGCGCGGCGUGGGAGUCGCGGCCGCCGGCUCCCCUGAGGAAACAGCAAAUAAUUUGGGCCUCAGAGGCACAGACUCUUGGGUUCCUUAUGACCUGGUGCCUGACGGAGAAAGAAGUGCGCCGCCGUUUUACUGUCUGGAAAAUGGGUUGCAGGCGGAACAGAAAGGCUGCGGCGAAUAGGAGCGGACCAGACCCUGGUGUAGGGGUCUUCUGGAUGCUUUAGAGACUUCGUGCCUUCCCGGUUCCCAUUCCCUGCUCCUUUGGACGAGAAGGGAACUAGUAUUUAUUUAACUUUAAUCAGGCCGGGUUUGGUGGCUCACGCCUGUAAUUCCCAGCACUUUGGGAGACGGAGAUGGGCGGAUCACUUGAAUCCAGCAGUUCGAGACCAGCCUGGCCAGCAUGGCAAACCCCGUCUCUGCUGAAAAUACACAAAUUAGCUGGGCGUGGUGGCGCGCGCCACUCCCGGGGCUGAAUAAAGAGAAUCGCUUGAACCCAGAAGGUGGAGGUUGCAAUGAGUUAAGAUUGCGCCACUGCACUCCAGCCUUGGCAACAGAGGGAGACCCUUUCCCUGUCUCAAAUAAAUAAAUAAAUAGAUAGAUAGAUAAUUUAACAUUCAUCAGACACUAUUUCAAGCUCCAGUUUGGAGCCUGUGUCCCGC
rnacentral:lncRNA from 1 species